AUUAGAGUUUGAUCCUGGCUCAGGAUGAACGCUAGCGGGAGGCCUAACACAUGCAAGCCGAGCGGUAGAUUGUCUUCGGACAGUUGAGAGCGGCGUACGGGUGCGUAACACGUGUGCAACCUACCUUUAUCAGGAGAAUAGCCUUUCGAAAGGAAGAUUAAUACUCCAUAAUAUAUUUGAUGGCAUCAUUAGAUAUUGAAAACUCCGGUGGAUAGAGAUGGGCACGCGCAAGAUUAGAUAGUUGGUGAGGUAACGGCUCACCAAGUCAAUGAUCUUUAGGGGUCCUGAGAGGGAGAUCCCCCACACUGGUACUGAGACACGGACCAGACUCCUACGGGAGGCAGCAGUGAGGAAUAUUGGACAAUGGGUGAGAGCCUGAUCCAGCCAUCCCGCGUGAAGGAUGACGGUCCUAUGGAUUGUAAACUUCUUUUGUACAGGGAUAAACCCAGAUACGUGUAUCUGGCUGAAGGUACUGUACGAAUAAGCACCGGCUAACUCCGUGCCAGCAGCCGCGGUAAUAAU
rnacentral:rRNA from 1 species